rnacentral:snRNA from 1 species
GUCCUCGCUUCGGCAGCACAUAUACUAAAAUUGAAACGACACAGAGAAGAUCGACAUGGCCCUUGCACAAGGAUGACACACAAAUUAGUGAAGCAUUUAUAUUUUUA